rnacentral:pre_miRNA from 2 species
UAGCGAGGUAUAGAGUUCCUACGUGUGUUGUUAUAGUAGGAACUUCAUACCGUGCUCU